AUACUUACCUGGCAAGGGAGACACCGUGAUCACGAAGGCGGUUCACCCAGGGCGAGGCUCAGCCAUUGCACUCCGGCUGUGCUGACCCCUGCGAUUUUCUCAAAUGUGGAAAUCUCGAUUGCAUAAUUUCUGGUAGUGGGGGACUGCGUUCGCGCUCUCCCCUG
rnacentral:snRNA from 1 species